AUGUGGAGUGUUCUGGGCUGCCGGUUUUUCUAAUUAAGUGCUACAAUAGGAUUCCAAGAAUUUUCAAAUAUUUAUAAAUAAUUACACCUGUAAACUUCAACCCCUGUGGGAAGUUGGUAUUUAAUAUAAACGACCAAGUUCCAUACUUACUUGUUACUAAAUAAGUAACCAUAUAAACAAAGCAAUAAUUGUUAAUUUUGGUUUAUUUGGUGAUAAAAUUCUUUCGGUGUUAACCUACUUAAAGUCAAUUUUUAUCAAACGAGAAAGGAAUUUAUGAACCAUUUUUCCACUUUUCGAUUAACCUGUGAGGCUUACAAAAUCUACCUGUGUUAAUACCCACACGAAAAACGAGUAACUUUUUCGUUCAUUCUUAAGAUUAGUCUCCAUAGCAGUUUAGUAAUAAUUAAAAAAUCCUAAAUUCCGUGAAAUAUUUAAGUCAAAUUUUAUACAGUGCUACACGUACAUAUUUAACUAUUUAAGUAAUAAUUUAUAUGUUUGUCUUGACGAGUGACGCUGUGCAGGAUCGAAAGAUUCCGGAAACCACGUAACCAUGGAUUUCAAAUUAGAGAAGAAAUGUUCCAAUCGGUUAAAAACAUUUAAAACUAAACUCCCCUUGAACGCGCAUCUUGUACAUGAACCCGACGCGAAGGUAAAAUGCAAGAUUGGCGGGGAAAUUUCGAAAAACCCCACCGCCUCGUCUCUCCACAUGAGACAACUUCACAUCGCGCGGGAACGACAAACGAAUUUGCCAUAAGGAAUUUUCCACCGCAAAGACUUUAAGGAGACAUCUUGACACCGUCCACGGCACGAUGGGAGAACGACCCCGUUGGCCAUGUACAUUUCCAGGCUGUGGAAAAAUUUACUUAAGUAAAUGGAAUCUCUCCGCCCACGUGACAAAGGACCAUUCCCAAAACGCGGCCCGAUUUCCUUGCACACUUUGCGAGAAGGAAUUUAAAACCAGGUACAACCUUGAGAGACACAUUUCCACUCACACGACCGAGAAAACGUACAAGUGUGCCACGUGUGGGAGGAGUUUCGCACAAAUGGAUACCUUAAAACUUCACGAGCUUGAAUGAACAGAUGUCCCAUCUUGACAAGGAUGCCCGGCCGGUGUUACGCUGUCACCUUUGCCCCGCGAAUUUCUACAGUCGACCCGGGUUAUAUUUGCAUAUUAAGGCUACCCAUGAAAAUCGGAGGAAUUAUUCGUGCACAUUUUGUGCCAAGAAAUUCGCCGUGUCAUUCAGUUUGAAAUGUCACGUGGAUGCGAGACACCCUGAGAAUAAGGAGAUAAUUAAUUUCUGUGACCAAUGCGAGUACAAAAGUCACUCGAAAUACAAUUUAUACAAGCAUAAGAGUCCACCAUAUUGCGAAUCGACCCCAAUGUUACUUCUGCAAAAAAUCUUUUUCCAGCUUUCUGGAUUUGGUCAACCACUGCAGUCGACUGCACACGCGCGAGAAGUCAAAAUAGAGAAAUGUGUCUUCAUGGUCAUUCUCGCAUCGAUUAAAACUUAUGCAUUUUUUGGUGUUUGAAUGCACGUUAUUAUGAAAUACUGAAAUAGGUACAUGAAUGCAACGUAAUAUGUAUUUAAGAUAGCUAUAUACAAACAGUUUGCGAAAUUUUCGCCUUCCAAGGAUUUUGUUAUGAUAGCUUAAAAUUUUCGUGAUUUUGUGUACACAAAGAAUCUGUAAUAAUAUUAGGGUGGCCCCGUGGCAGUUUUCGAGAUACGAACAAAAAUAUGUGGAUUUUUUGAAAAUUCUGAGAAAUUAAAUUUUUUAUGUACAAGGUGAAGUUUUUAGUUGGUUCUUUCUCGAUAAAUAACCCAAACAUAUUGUUGCACGCAUGCUAUAAACUCAAUUUUGUAAUUCCCAUUUCCGUAAUAUAUAACAAUUCUAUAUUACGGAACUUAUCUACUUACUAAAGUAUAUAACAAUUAUCCGUAAUAUGUGUAACAAUUUUUUUACAUCCCACAUGCAAUUUUCCUUUUUUGCUUCGCUCCCCGUCUGGAAAUUCUCCACACAGACGUUGCCACUCAUAAUACUGUAUCUGGGCUACUACCAUACCUAGCAAACUGCCAAAUUCUUCCCAAUGUGUGAGCUAAAUCGAGCAAUUUUAAAGCGUAUAAUUAUUCAUGCUCACCACUGUAUGCUGCCCGAACUUACAGAAUCAUGGCCAUGAAAACAAGAGGUAACAACUCCUCGAAAUACUGACAUGUGUAUGCGAAUAAACAACUUUAAGAAAUUACUUUACGACAUGAUGCAUCAAACCAUGCAACU